CCCCAUCGACCCCGCGGUUUGCUACAUCGACGUCGGCUCUUCCCAUCCUGGGGGUGCAGCAGCCCCCAAGGGUGGGGCUGCCCGCCCAUUAAAGGGGAACGUGAGCUGGGUUUAGACGCCGGCGAGGUAGGGGUUAUAUACUUAUACUCCCUUCUCAGUAGGGUAAGUGUGGAGCUCCAGCUUCAAGUUGCUAUUGGAUGUAUCCUCGGAGAUGGUAGGUUAGACGCGAUAGGCCCAGGUAACUCUAGGCUGCUGGUGCGCCAUAGCAUUAAGCAGUACGAGUACUUAGCCUUCAAGCAUAGCAUACUGAAGCCGUACUCUUUAGGCAUAUUCUGUAUCGAGUGGGUUGAUAGGAGGACCGGUAAGCUGUAUAGAGCAGCGGGUUUCAACACUGUAAGGCAUAGAGUAUUUACUGAGCUAUAUCACGCAUUCUACCCGAAGGGCCGUAAGGUUGUGCCGAGGAAUUUAAGUGAAAUCGCAGGCGAAGUUGCUUUGGCUAUACUGAUAGGUGAUGACGGAACCUACGAUCAAUCAUCAAGAACGGUAAAGAUAUCCGUUGACGCAUAUGACCUCGAGAGCCGGAAGAGAAUAAGGGACUGGCUUUUAGAUAUGGGUAUUGAGAGCACGAUAGAGAAGGAUCGAAUAUACAUACUAAGACGCUCCCUACCCCAACUCGUGAGACUCACCUCUAGGUACUUACCUCCUUCAAUGCUUUAUAAGCUCGGAAUCGAUUCCCCACCUCCCGGCGGAACAUACCGUCGUGAGACAGGUCGGACUCUACCCACGGGGGGUGCGGGCCGCCUGAGGGGAAGGCGUCCUCAGUACGAGAGGAACGGGACGUCGCGGCCUCUGGUGGACCGGCCGUUCGACAGAGCGUGCCGGGCAGCUACGCCGUGGGGGGUAACCGCUGAAAGCAUCUAAGCGGGAAUCCCUCCCCGAAAAGAGGCGGCCGUUCCCGGUUUAUGCCGGGAGGAGGGCUCCCGUAGAAGACGGGGUUGAUGGGGCGGGGGUGUACGCCCCGAGGGUUUCCGAGGGGUUCAGCCUGCCGCUCCCAAUCGCCCGACGC
rnacentral:rRNA from 1 species